GGAUAACGGUUGGAAACGACCGCUAAUACCCCAUAUGCCGAGAGGUGAAAUGAAUUUCGCCUGAGGAUGAGCCCGCGUCUGAUUAGCUUGUUGGUGAGGUAAUGGCUCACCAAGGCUUCGAUCAGUAGCUGGUCUGAGAGGAUGAUCAGCCACACUGGGACUGAGACACGGCCCAGACUCCUACGGGAGGCAGCAGUGGGGAAUUUUCCGCAAUGGGCGAAAGCCUGACGGAGCAACGCCGCGUGAGGGACGAAGGCCUCUGGGCUGUAAACCUCUUUUCUCAAGGAAGAAGAUAUGACGGUACUUGAGGAAUAAGCCACGGCUAAUUCCGUGCCAGCAGCCGCGGUAAUACGGGAGUGGCAAGCGUUAUCCGGAAUUAUUGGGCGUAAAGCGUCCGCAGGCGGCCUUUCAAGUCUGCUGUUAAAACGUGGAGCUUAACUCCAUCAUGGCAGUGGGAAACUGAUAGGCUUGAGUAUGGUA
rnacentral:rRNA from 1 species